rnacentral:rRNA from 1 species
UACGGAGGGUGCAAGCGUUAUCCGGAAUCACUGGGCGUAAAGGAUGCGUAGGUGGGACUAUUAGUCAGAGGUUAAAGACCGGAGCUCAACUCCGGGAAGGCCUCUGAAACGGUAGUUCUUGAGUUUGUUAGAGGCACGUAGAACUCUCGGUGUAGGGGUGAAAUCCGUUGAUAUCGAGGGGAAUACCAAAAGCGAAGGCAGCGUGCUGGGACAACACUGACACUGAGGCAUGAAACCCUGGGUAGCGAAUGGG